rnacentral:tRNA from 1 species
UCUUCCUUAGCUCAGUUGGCAGAGCGCACGACUGUUAAUCGUGAUGUCAGUGGUUCGAUCCCACUAGGAAGAGCAA